rnacentral:rRNA from 1 species
UACGUAUGGUGCAAGCGUUGUUCGGAAUCACUGGGCGUAAAGCGCGCGCAGGCGGAUUGUUAAGUUGGAUGUGAAAUCUUGGGGCUCAACCCUGAGGCUGCAUCCAAAACUGGCGAUCUGGAGUCUCGGAGAGGUAGGCGGAAUAUCUGGUGUAGCGGUGAAAUGCGUAGAUAUCAGAUGGAACACCGAUGGCGAAGGCAGCCUACUGGACGAUGACUGACGCUCAGGCGCGAAAGCGUGGGGAGCAAACAGG